GUCACAUUACGGGCUUUUCCAAUAGUGAGAGAUACAAAUACCGUAUAUCAAGUAAGCUAAAAAAAUCCCAAAAUGACAAUAUGUGAACCAUUUCAAAAUAUAGAACUUACACUGUUAGGUCCGAUAGGUAAAUACAUUUUGACAAAAGUCCGACGAUGAUAUAAUAUGUUCUCAUUGUAGCUGUACCUGUGGAGAACGGAUGAAAUUCAUAAGACAACAGUGACAGCCAGUAAUAAACAUUAGCGAAACACAGAAAUGAUAGAAAACACUUCCUUCCGAUGCAAAAACAAUAUUAAAUAAUCUGAAUAUAAUGUGUCUUUGUUUAAUUUGCAUGUACGUUUUAUGUUUAAAAUAUAUAUGAUUCUGAUACAUCAAAAUAGAAACUUUACAAUGUUUUUCCUAAAAUCUGUUUUAACCACAAAAUAAGUAUAUUGUACGUGUUGCAUCACACGAAUCAUUCAUACUUUGAUAUUUUCUUAUGUCAAAUAAUUAUUAAAUGCUCUCUCGUGACUGAGUAUUAUAUCAAAUUCAAAAUAAUUAGCUACACUUCUUACCAAUCAUGUGUAUUAUUCAAAUUGUACACAUUAUGUCUAUAACCCUACAAUGUAUUUCUUUAUGUGAAUUCAAUUAUCAUACAUA